rnacentral:rRNA from 1 species
AUUGAACGCUGGCGGCAGGCCUAACACAUGCAAGUCGAACGAGUGGCGGACGGGUGAGUAAUGUCUGGGAAACUGCCUGAUGGAGGGGGAUACCUACUGGAAACGGUAGCUAAUACCGCAUACCAUCGGAUGUGCCCAGAUGGGAUGAGCUAGUAGGUGGGGUAAUGGCUCACCUAGGCGACGAUCCCUAGCUGGUCUGAGAGGAUGACCAGCCAAUCUGUAACUGGGGCACGGUCCAAACACCGAAGGGAGGCAGUAGUGGGGAAUAUUGCACAAUGGGCGCAAGCCUGAUGCAGGCAUGCCGCGUGUAUGAAGAAGGCCUUCGGGUUGUAAAGUACUUGCAGCGGGGAGGCGUUACCCGCAGAAGAAGCACCGGCUAACUCCGUGCCAGCCGCCGCGGUAAUUC